AACGAUUGAGUUAGUCCUGUCUUUACUUUUCCUAUUUUAACAGCUGUUCUCCCACCGAUGUUAGCCGCUGUAUCCCAGCCGACAUGGCAGGAGCAGGUUCCCAGGGGCACCGUCCACACUGCAAUGCCUGAGGAUUAGAAGGAAGUGGAUGCGGUAACAGGGUGUGUGUACAGAAACGUGCGAGGAGAACAUACCUUGUAAUCAGGACACGAGAAUAAACUCCAAGGGAACACUGAAUGAACGUCACGUGCCUCCUCUUUCUUUUCCUCCAACCCCACCUUUGCUGAGAUUAUUGGAGUAAAGAGGUGGAACUCGCGCGAUACAGCUGAAGGAGAAUUGGGUGGAAAGAAGACAGUGAAAAGUGGCUCCUGACUGAAAAGGCUAGUCUCUACAUUGUACCUUACCAAAAACCAAGUAGCUACCUACAUUUCUCUAAUUUGCUUAAUAAAAUAAAUAUGUUUUCUAAA